rnacentral:rRNA from 1 species
GAUGAACGCUGGCGGCGUGCCUAAUACAUGCAAGUCGAGCGAACAGACGAGGAGCUUGCUCCUCUGACGUUAGCGGCGGACGGGUGAGUAACACGUGGAUAACCUACCUAUAAGACUGGGAUAACUUCGGGAAACCGGAGCUAAUACCGGAUAAUAUAUUGAACCGCAUGGUUCAAUAGUGAAAGACGGUUUUGCUGUCACUUAUAGAUGGAUCCGCGCCGCAUUAGCUAGUUGGUAAGGUAACGGCUUACCAAGGCAACGAUGCGUAGCCGACCUGAGAGAGUGAUCGGCCAAACUGGAACUGAGACACGGUCCAGACUCCUACGGGAGGCAGCAGUAGGGAAUCUUCCACAAUGGUCGAAAGCCUGACGGAGCAACGCCGCGUGAGUGAUGAAGGUCUUCGGAUCGUAAAACUCUGUUAUUAGGGAAGAACAAAUGUGUAAGUAACUAUGCACGUCUUGACGGUACCUAAUCAGAAAGCCACGGCUAACUACGUG